rnacentral:tRNA from 1 species
GCCGGGGUGGCAGAGAGGCACUGCGGUGGACUCGAGAUCCACUGCCCGAAAGGGCACCUGGGUUCAAGUCCCAGCCCCGGCG